GUGAAUCAUCGAAUUUUUGAACGCAAAUUGCACUCUCCGGUUUUCCGGGAGAUUAUGCUUGUUUGAGGGUCUUCCUAAAUAAAAUCGGCUUAGUAUUUUGCUGUGUUUUUCACGGUAACGUUGGUCGGAAUUUGUGUCAUCUUAAAUCGAAAGUUUUUUAAGCGACUUAAAAUUUUCUUACUAUCUCUCGAACGUUUCUAAGAUUUUCUUUCACGUUCAAGGUAUCUAUAUUAGACGUGACAGUUGUAUCGGUUCGCGUCCAU
rnacentral:misc_RNA from 1 species